rnacentral:rRNA from 1 species
UACGUAGGGUGCAAGCGUUGUCCGGAAUUAUUGGGCGUAAAGAGCUCGUAGGCGGUCUGUCGCGUCUGCUGUGAAAACUCGGGGCUUAACCCCGGGCCUGCAGUGGGUACGGGCAGACUAGAGUGCGGGAGAGGAGAGUGGAAUUCCUGGUGUAGCGGUGAAAUGCGCAGAUAUCAGGAAGAACACCCGUGGCGAAGGCGGCUCUCUGGAACGCAACUGGCGCUGAGACGCGAAAGCGUGGGGAGCAAACAGG